GUAGAGCCUGUGAAAAGAAUUAUGUAGCCAGGAGUGGUGCUAACCUGAGCUGGGGAGUCGGGAGGGGGCCAUCAGUCACUCCUUGAUCCCCUGCUGCUCUCCUUAGGAAAAUGGGAAGCCCCAUCAGACCUGGACGCGGCGUGCUUUACAUCUUCUACCGUAAGCAUCAAAGGAUGCGGCCACCUGAUAGAACAAAGGAGAUUCUCUGGUACCAUCUCAGCCCCAGCAUGAGACAGUGGCUACUCAGUUCAGUCUUCUCCCAGUUCACUGCUCAACCGGAGCUGAGGCUGUGGUCGGUACAGUUGACUCCAGGACUCCAGGACCUCCACCUAAAGCCUUCCCAGCUUCCUUCCAGGUUUCUCUACAGUGGACUUCCCCUCCAAAGCCAACUUUUGACCCCAACAUUCUUCCAGUGAAGUUGUACAGCUCCGAGUUAAACGUUUUCAUCGUCUCUGAAGAACUAAAGUUGUGGGAUAUCAAAGGAAGCGUUGGAGAAGUACUUGGUGCUCCCGAGUACGACCAGGGAAGAAGUACACGGGGGAAGUGACCCAAAUGUCUUCCUCAGACAAAUAAGUACCUGAAAAAAGCUGCAAGCUGACUGUGCGGUGAAAGUAAGGGAUAGCCAGUCCUCAGCCUGCGAACUCCAUUGACGUGCACAGUCUAGAUUGAGAUCUGGUGAGUCCCUCUGGAUAUUGGGAAGAUCCCUGUGAGACCACUCAUGGAAGCAUAUAGAGAAGAGUUAUACAGGGUGAAAAAAUGAAGAAGGCUUGUCAUAUGUGCCUCGUGGUGAGAUAUCGAUGGGAAGGAGACCAUCAAGCCACUGGGCAUAUGACAUGAAAGCGUAUGUUCUUAGUUGACCAGACCAUCAUCUCUCUGAGGGUGAGAUCUACCCUGAUCUUUGUAUAUACGCCAUGGUGCCUGGCUGAGACUUAAUGCUCUAUAGUGUGUCUGACAAUUUUUCUGAUGGGCCAGUAAGAAAAUGUUUUAAAAUGAAACACAAUCGCUGAUUAUGAUAUUCUGAAACGACACUUCUUAAUCAUGCAAAUGUUUGUCGUGUUCACUUCCUAUUUUGUUAACCUUCUCUAAAAUAACAAAUUAGCUAUAAAAAUAA